GGACGCGCCGCCGCCGCCGCCGCCGCCACCGCCGGGAAGGCAGCUGGCGCCGAGCAAGUUGCGAGCGCGCCUCUCCGCCCAGGGAAAGUUUCCCCCGCGGCCGCCGAAGGGAGUUGGCGCGGGGUCUGGCCGCUGCCGCUGGAAGAGUUUCUCCUGACGCCACCAUCAGAAAGAGAGCUCAAGAAAAUAUUGACACCCCUGAAAGGAAGAAACACCAGUUGAAAGAGGUGGGCAUCUGCGGGACAGCCCCAAGCUUGCAGGGACCAGACCUCCGACCCCGUCAUCGAAGCAACGGGGACCCUUUGAAUUGGAACUAAAAACGACAAGCUGGGCCAGUAAGGAAAUAUCCAGGAACCCCUCUGACCAGGAGACUCCAUCCUGCUGACAUCGAAAGAACUGCCCAGGUGGAGCACCAUGGAAGGCGACUGUCUGAGCUGCAUGAAGUAUCUGAUGUUUGUCUUCAAUUUCUUCAUAUUUCUGGGCGGGGCCUGCCUGCUGGGCGUGGGCAUCUGGGUCAUGGUCGACCCCACCGGCUUCCGCGAGAUCGUGGCCGCCAACCCCCUGCUCAUCACGGGUGCCUACAUCCUCCUGGCCAUGGGGGGCCUGCUUUUCCUGCUCGGCUUCCUGGGCUGCUGCGGGGCCGUCCGGGAGAACAAGUGUCUGCUGCUGUUUUUCUUCCUGUUCAUCCUGAUCAUCUUCUUAGCGGAGCUGUCGGCGGCCAUCCUGGCCUUCAUCUUCAGGGAAAAUCUCACCCGUGAAUUCUUCACCAAGGAGCUCACCAAGCACUACCAGGGCAACAAUGACACAGAUGUCUUCUCUGCCACCUGGAACUCCGUCAUGAUCACAUUUGGUUGCUGUGGGGUCAAUGGGCCUGAAGACUUUAAGUUUGCAUCAGUUUUCCGACUCCUGACUUUGGACAGUGACGAGGUGCCUGAGGCCUGCUGCCGGAGAGAACCCCAGAGUCGGGAUGGGGUCCUGCUGAGCAGGGAGGAGUGCCUCCUGGGACGGGAACUGUUCCUGAACAAGCAGGGCUGCUACACGGUGAUCCUCAACGCCUUCGAAACCUAUGUCUACCUGGCUGGAGCCCUCGCCAUAGGGGUGCUGGCCAUCGAGCUUUUUGCCAUGAUCUUUGCCAUGUGCCUCUUCCGGGGCAUCCAGUAGAGGGUGUGGCCUGCAGCCUGAAGACUCACCCCGCCUACCACAGCCCAGCACCCAAUGCCCUCCCCUUCCCCGCACCCCUGCCUUCUUGGCCCCCCCUGGGGGGAGGAGGUGAGGCCAUCGUGAGUGGCCAGGAGAAGGGCCGGGGGGAAAUAGCUAUUUUUUUAACAGAACAAAAUGAAGACAAAAAUAUGGACUGAUGUAGCCCGUCUGGACUCCAGAGUGGGCGCCACGGGCUCUGCGCAGGGGCCUGGCACCUGAACCCGGGAUGCAGUCUGGACUAGAGACCAAAGCAACACGAGGGCCAGGCCCUGCCCUUGGCCCACAGCCCCAGGCCUGGGCCCUCGACUCAUAACUUCAGGACCUGGUGCCAAGAAAAUAAGGAUUUAGGCAAGAAGGAGGCGAAAGGAAAUUUGUGGAGAGAGGUUGCCAAACCCCAGCGACCCCAAGGAGGCCCUGGUCCUCCAGGGAUGGAAUUGUCCCUGCCUCAGGCUGGGGCCAAGAGUGGGCUGCAGACACUGGAUCCAAGAAUGGCCCAGCUGGUAGGGUCCCUGCUUCCCCAUCUGUUGGGCCAGAUAAUCUGGAGCACCCAGAGAGGGCCAGUUUCUUAUCCACACUCACACAGCACAUGCACGACAGUUCUGACCAAGAACCUGUCAUCCGCAGGCUGCCUGUCCCUCCUUCCAAGACUCUGUCGGUCCCAGCAGGCAUGCUGCUCCCACCCCUCUCUGGCCUCCGUGCCCUGGUUUCCGCAGAAGAGAGAGGGCAGGCUGGUCAGCAACUGCCUCUUCCUGGCUCCAUGGCGAAGACAGUUCUGGAUUCUGCCCUCCCUCCCACCUCCCCACGCUUUCUGUCAGUCCCAGGAACACACCCAUGUACACACAUCACAGCCUCUUUUUUCACACCGCCCCCCCUCUCCCUGUUCUCCACUGACUCCCCGGCUCCCAGGACUGGAAGGAACCCCCAAGGUCAUCUGGUUCUCCUCUCCCCACUCAGAAUUGCAGCAUGGAUGUCUUCCGCAAGAUCCCCUCCAAGACUUCUCCGCCUUCUUCUUGCACAUCUCCAAGGACAGGGAGCUCACUACCUCCCAAGACAGGUUUCUGCCUUUGGACUGCUCUGACUUGAGCAUCAGCUCGAUACACGGAAGAGGUUUCUUGUUUUCUGUGGCUCUGUCCAUGACAUCCCACGUGCUCGCUCUUCUUACCGAAAUGUUAAGGCCACACAUGGUCCCCCCUGAGCCCCAUCAUCUCCAGGUCAGAGAACCCCGGGGCCUCUCAUCCUUUCUGCUGUGUCAUGGUUUCCUGUGCUUUCACUGUCCUUAGCACAUUUCUGAGUGCCCCCUCCAAGAUCUGGCAGGGAGAGGUUUCCCCACAAACUCACUCACACCCACAGAGCACCCACAAAUCUGUCCCUCAUACACAGGUCUCAGAUUAUAGACCAGUGUUAGCAACCGUAUUACAAGAUGCCGCAACCUUGAUCAAUCAGGAGUGGCUGCCGGAGGCUGUGCCAAGGAUCUGAGGUUUGGUCUGGGAUCCAGGGAAGAAUCCCAGUGUUGUUUCGAUUAGUGCUGUCUGCCGAACAGCUCAAACUUGAUUGGUAAUGUCUGCCCUAGGCGUGGGCUGGGAGAUCAGUAUGGUACCUGCUCUUCUCUUUACAUUGUCCUUCUUCAGAGUCUGGGAGGAACCCUCUGCCAGCUUCCAGCCUCCCCUCCAGCUUUCCAGCCACUGGGAGGCAGAGCAGCAGCUUAGAGCCCAGUGCUCCCCUGCUCUGCCACCUUCCCCCUUCUGAGAUGCAGCCAGAGCUCUGUGCCUGCUGCAAAGAUUCGGUUUGAACCUCCUCCCACCUCUCCCCUUCCCGCUCGCACCCUCCUGCUGUCCCGUCCCCACCAGUCUGGCCCUCCCUCCUGGUCUCCGAGCUGGGUCUUUCCACAUUGUCCCUGUAUCCACCUGCCUUGGAAAUUCUGUAAGUGAUGCUGUGAACUCCCCAGCUACUGGGCAUCCCAGGGACCCAGGGGGCUGUGCAGCUUGUACCCCAGCCCAGCCUGAGAAGGGCCUGGGGCUUACCCCUCUCUAGGCCCAUCCACAAGCUUAGCUCCAACUUCCAAGCAGAGGCAAAGGGCUGGAGUGAGGGUGACACCCUCCCCCCCAAAAAAGUCAGGCUGGCUAGGCAGGACUUAGGGUCAAAUUGGGCAGCUAUGGGGCUCCAGACUAGGAGUGCCCCAGGCUUCAGAGCCCUCUGGUCCCCAAGGCCCAGAAGAACCUGGGGCCUUCGAGGUAAGAAAAGCCAGGCAUCUUGUAUCACCCCUUUGGGGGCCCCCUGAGAGGAGGGGCUGGUCAAAGGGGAACACUAGGCGAGGUGGGUUCAAGGGUAGAUGUGAGACUCUCAUCCUUCUUCAGAGCUCUCCAGAAAGCGGCCAAGAAGUCCUGAUCUGCCCCCAAGGACCACACUGGGGCUGGAGAGGGGGAAGCAGGCUGGUAGCUAUUUGCAAGCCUGCCAGAGGGGGCGCCGGAAGGCAAAGCCCAGCCCCAGUCGGGCUGGAGCCUCUCCCAGGCCCCACCCACAACCGCCCACAACAGGUGCUAAUGGCAGUUUGGGGCUGCUGGGCGAAGGGGUGCUGGGGAGCAGAGUAAGUCUCCACUGAGAUUUUUCUCUGCCAAUACCCCCCACCCCACCCCCACCGGGCCAGGGAAGACCUUACACUUCGUCACUCCGCCCUGUACCAAGGCCACCUUCCUGCUGUCUCUGGGAGAAUUCUUGGCCUCUCCCCAGCUUCCCUUGUCCCCACUGUCCUCUUCAUGCCUAAGGGGCCCAGACAGGACCCCCCCCCAAACCUGCCGAGGCCCUAGCAACCCCCUCUCUCCAGAAGCCCCUUCUUGCCCUCCCCAGUGGGUCCUUUGUGGAAAAUCUAUUUUGAAAUCUGUAAAUGUUCCUUGCAGGAGAGAGCAGAGCUAAUUUAUCGUGUUUAUUGCCCGUGAGCCCCUCCCCUUUUAUAUUAUCUAUCAAGAAGGAGUUUUUGUAAUAUAAAACAGGACACCCACACUGAUGGUUUUGCACUGGUUUUUGUGACUGUUUCUUACAAAAAGAAAAAGGAACAAAGAAUAAAUAGUGAUCG
rnacentral:lncRNA from 1 species